AAUGUUCCUGUAUUAUGUGCUUCUCAGAAGAUGAGUCGGGAUGUCCAGAAGCAAGGACUGAAAGCAGCCAAGCACAGGACACAGAAGAUACUGUGGAUCUUGGAAACAACUCUACUUUGGGGAAACUCAAGAGGAAAAGAAG